rnacentral:rRNA from 1 species
UACGUAGGGUGCAAGCGUUAAUCGGAAUUACUGGGCGUAAAGCGUGCGCAGGCGGUUUUGUAAGUCUGUCGUGAAAUCCCCGGGCUCAACCUGGGAAUGGCGAUGGAGACUGCAAGGCUGGAAUCUGGCAGAGGGGGGUAGAAUCCCACGUGUAGCAGUGAAAUGCGUAGAUAUGUGGAGGAAUACCGAUGGCGAAGGCAGCCCCCUGGGAUAACACUGACGCUCAUGCACGAAAGCGUGGGGAGCAAACAGG